UAAAAAAGCAUUCUCAUUGGCCCACGUAUCCUCAAGUGUAUGUUAAAGGAGUUUUGGUGGGCGGUCUUGAUAUUGUUCAAGAGCUGAUUGCUUCAAAGGAGUUUUUUUCUCUACUUCCUUCCUCUUGUUAUAAAGAAAGCGCUAAGGCCCUUCACGCGAGGCUGAAAAAUCUUAUCCAAACCAGUAAAGUCGUACUUUUCAUGAAGGGUACGCCCGACCAACCAAAGUGUGGCUUUAGUAAAACGAUGGUUGAUCUUCUUAAGUAUUCC